rnacentral:rRNA from 1 species
GUGAACGCUGGCGGUAGGCCUAACACAUGCAAGUCGAACGGCAGCACAGUAAGAGCUUGCUCUUACGGGUGGCGAGUGGCGGACGGGUGAGGAAUACAUCGGAAUCUACUUUUUCGUGGGGGAUAACGUAGGGAAACUUACGCUAAUACCGCAUACGACCUACGGGUGAGAGCAGGGGAUCUUCGGACCUUGCGCGAUUGAAUGAGCCGAUGUCGGAUUAGCUAGUUGGCGGGGUAAAGGCCCACCAAGGCGACGAUCCGUAGCUGGUCUGAGAGGAUGAUCAGCCACACUGGAACUGAGACACGGUCCAGACUCCUACGGGAGGCAGCAGUGGGGAAUAUUGGACAAUGGGCGCAAGCCUGAUCCAGCCAUACCGCGUGGGUGAAGAAGGCCUUCGGGUUGUAAAGCCCUUUUGUUGGGAAAGAAAAGCAGCAGGUUAAUACCCCGCUGUCCUGACGGUACCCAAAGAAUAAGCACCGGCUAACUUCGUG